ACGGGAGGCAGCAGUGGGGAAUAUUGCACAAUGGGGGAAACCCUGAUGCAGCGACGCCGCGUGAGUGAAGAAGUAUUUCGGUAUGUAAAGCUCUAUCAGCAGGGAAGAAAAUGACGGUACCUGACUAAGAAGCCCCGGCUAACUACGUGCCAGCAGCCGCGGUAAUACGUAGGGGGCAAGCGUUAUCCGGAUUUACUGGGUGUAAAGGGUGCGUAGGUGGCUAAGUAAGUCAGAUGUGAAAACCCAGGGCUUAACUCUGGGACUGCAUUUGAAACUGCUAAGCUAGAGUGCAGGAGAGGUAAGUGGAAUUCCUAGUGUAGCGGUGAAAUGCGUAGAUAUUAGGAGGAACACCAGUGGCGAAGGCGGCUUACUGGACUGUAACUGACACUGAGGCACGAAAGCGUGGGGAGCAAACAGGAUUAGAUACCCUGGUA
rnacentral:rRNA from 1 species